GUUGGCCAGGCUGGUCUCAAACUCCUGACCUCGUGGUCCACCCACCUCGGCCUCCCAAAGUGCUGGAGGACUGCUUGAUGACCUGUAAUCCCAGCACUUUGGAGGCUGAGGUGGGAGGACUGCUUGAUGCCAAGAGAUCAUGAUCAGCCUGGGAAACACAGUGAGAACCCUUUUCUAAAAUAAAAAAAUAAAAUAAAAUAAAUUGCCUGGGUGUGGUGGCACAUGCCUGUAGUCAUAGCUAUUUGGGAGGCUAAGGUGGGAGAUUCUACUUGAGGCCAGGAGAUUGAGGCUACAGUGAGCUAUGAUUUUACCUGUGCACUCUAGCCUGGGUGAGACAGUGAGACCUUGUCUCAAAACAAUUAAUUAAAACAUGAAAAAAUACUGGAAAUCUUCAAAUUAAAUUACACACACACACUUAAUCCUACUGCUUUUUUAAAAAAAUUACAUUAAGAUGUAAAAGUUCCCCUUUCAUGUCCUCCCUGUUUUCUUUGCUAAAAUGGAUAUAUCAACGUAUACACUAAAUGGUGGUUGAGUCAACUAAUAAAUGAGUGAAUAAACACUCUUGUCUGUGUUGAGAUCAAAUCCUGGAAGGAGGCUCCCAGCUGUUGCAUCUGGAAGUCUAAGCAUUGGUCUCGAGUCAGGUGCAAAUCCUACCCCCUUGAAUUCAAGGCUGGCCAUUCACUAGCCAUAGCUGUAGCUGCUAACUAGUAAGCUUCUGAGAGCACAAAUUAUGUUCUUUACCUCAUAUUACUACACACUGUUCCACCAAAAAAGUGAGGAGGGGUGCUCAAUAGCUACUUAUUAAAUAAGGAAUCAACAAACUGUCCCUGCCUUACCUGCCCAGCUUUCUUCUCUUAAGAUGCAGUGAAUAGAACUUGUAUUAGUUUCCUAUUGCUUCUCUAACAAGGUGUCACAAACUUGAAGGCUUACAACAACCCAAAUGGCUGGGUGCAGUGGCUCAGACCUGUAAUCGCAGCACUUCGGGAGGCCAAGGCAGGUGGAUCACCUGAAGUUAGGAGUUCGAGAACAACCUAGCCAGCACAUGGCAAAACCUCGUCUCAACUAAAAAUACAAAAAAAUUAGCCGGGUGUGGGGUGGAGCCAAGAUGGCCAAAUAGGAACAGCUCCAGUCUACAGCUCCCAGCGUGAGCGACGCAGAAGACGGGUGAUUUCUGCAUUUCCAACUGAGGUACCGGGUUCAUCUCACUGGGGAGUGCUGGACAGUGGGUGCAGGACAGUGGGUGCAGCGCACCGUGCAUGAGCCGAAGCAGGGCGAGGCAUCACCUCACCCAGGAAGCGCAAGGGGUCAGGGAAUUCCCUUUCCUAGUCAAAGAAAGGGGUGACACAUGGCACCUGGAAAAUUGGGUCACUCUCACCCCAAUACUGCACUUUUCCAAUGGGCUUAACAAACGGCACACCAGGAGAUUAUAUUCCUCACCUGGCUCGGAGGUUCCUAUGCCUACAGAGCCUCACUCAUUGCUAGCACAGCAGUCUGAGAUCAAGCUGCAAGGCGGCAGUGAGGCUGCGGGAG
rnacentral:lncRNA from 1 species